CUAAGCUAAAAUGCCUUGCUGGGUUGCAGCAAAUUCGAGAAGGCUAACAGGAAUAUUCAGACCCUGAGGGAAGAUAUCAAGCGUUUGUCUGCUGAGCUCCAUGUGAUUUUCUGGGACCCAUCAGUGCGAUCAUGUCCUACCUCAACUCCAAUCGUUUGACUCCAAUUACCAAAAGUCCCUGGACAGAAGUGGUGGCUGUGGACAGGACAUGGAAGCUCCUAUUGUGUCGAGUGAGCUGUCAAUUAAAAGGAUUUUAAAGUGUUCUUCAAUCAACUAUUUUGCAAAGUAGGGUUCCUAGACCAGGUCUGAAACCCCGAUCUCCCAGACCACAGACGACUACGCUGACCACUCAGCCAAAGCUCAGCUCCACUAGACACACAGACCUGCAGCCAUUAACACAUUCAUGAUACAAAGACAGACAAAGUGGAGCAGAGAAGAAAGACAGAG